UGUUCCUGUGGUUGAGAUAGCAACGGUGGCUUUUCAGGCCGCAGACCUUGGAGAGAAGCCAAGCGGGAACCG
rnacentral:tRNA from 1 species